rnacentral:rRNA from 1 species
AGAGUUUGAUCCUGGCUCAGGACGAACGCUGGCGGCGUGCCUAAUACAUGCAAGUCGGGCGGAGCCCGAGGGGAGCUUGCUCCUUUUCGGGCUCAGCGGCGGACGGGUGAGUAACACGUGGGUAACCUGCCCGUAAGACCGGGAUAACUCCGGGAAACCGGGGCUAAUACCGGAUAACACCGGGGGCCGCAUGGCUUCCGGUUGAAAGGCGGCCUUUGGCUGCCACUUACGGAUGGGCCCGCGGCGCAUUAGCUAGUUGGCGGGGUAACGGCCCACCAAGGCGACGAUGCGUAGCCGGCCUGAGAGGGUGGACGGCCACACUGGGACUGAGACACGGCCCAGACUCCUACGGGAGGCAGCAGUAGGGAAUCUUCCGCAAUGGGCGAAAGCCUGACGGAGCGACGCCGCGUGAGCGAGGAAGGCCUUCGGGUCGUAAAGCUCUGUUGUCAGGGAAGAAGGCGCGCCGUUCGAAUAGGGCGGCGCGGUGACGGUACCUGACGAGGAAGCCCCGGCUAACUACGUGCCAGCAGCCGCGGUAA